rnacentral:rRNA from 1 species
UACGUAGGGGCUAGCGUUAUCCGGAAUUACUGGGCGUAAAGGGUGCGUAGGCGGUCUUUCAAGCCAGAAGUGAAAGGCUACGGCUCAACCGUAGUAAGCUUUUGGAACUGUAAGACUUGAGUGCAGGAGAGGAGAGUGGAAUUCCUAGUGUAGCGGUGAAAUGCGUAGAUAUUAGGAGGAACACCAGUAGCGAAGGCGGCUCUCUGGACUGUAACUGACGCUGAGGCACGAAAGCGUGGGGAGCGAACAGGAUUAGAUACCCGGGUAGGUCCCUGA